rnacentral:lncRNA from 1 species
AGUUUUAUGGAAAAGUUGCGAAAGGCCAAGUUGCUCUGAGAGAAGACAGUUGGUCCGCAUUGUUGCUUCUGAGAUCCUGGAAGUCAGCAAAUGUCCAGCAAAAAAACAUGUAUCAGAAAUAGCCCGACAAAUGGUGAUUGCAUACCCAAAGUCUUUCAGAGAUGAGAUUAAUUCCCAGGUUGUAGGAAGUGGAUAUGAUUCUCUCCUCAAACAACUGGUGUGUAGAAUUGACAAUUUGAAAAGAGCAAAAGCUAUUAGUAUACCACUUUGUGGUACUCUAGAAGUAUCAACAAAGAAACGAAAAUUGUUAUAUGGUUGUAUAAAUUUUGAUCCACAACUGCUAGUUGGAGAAACAUCCGAAUUGCACCAGGAAAAGAAAGAGAAGUUGCUAGUAAUGUUUCAAAAUAAUAAAAGUGAUGUAAAGACAAUCUAUGACUUAUUGCCUUCUACAUACACCCCUCAAAGAAACAGCAUCCAAUCUGGAAAGGAAACCAAAGAUUUACUUGAUGAGUGGCCAUAUCUUUUUCAGCCAGCAGCAAUGAAAGCACACUUUAAAGAGCUCACUGGCAUUGACAUAAACAACAGCUUUGAAGAAUCUGCUUCCAAAGACACCUCUGUUCCAAGUGAAAUAUGCUCAGAACAGCUUCCAGCAACACCAUGUAUAGUAGUGUGUGGAGAGAACCCACUGACAGCCAGUGUGUACAUGGUAGCAGUAGACCAGAUGAUUGUAAAUGAGCCACACUAGAAUUCUUGCAAAGGUAUUUCAUAGACUGCAUUCCUUUGGUUAAGAAGCAUACAACAAUUAUUUAAGGAUAUUGUUUGUGUUGUGUUUUAAAGGUGCAUCUUUAGGAUAAAUCCUCAUAAAGGUAGCAAGGUGGAAAAGAGAGAGAAAAAGAGAGCGUACUCUGUCAACCCCAGAGUAUUGAGUCUGAUGUCAAAAAUUGCUGCAUUUGACUGGGGUACAGUAACAGGUACAGUAUAGAAGCUCUGUUGUCUUGUAUAGUAGUGGUAGACUUCAUCUGUGUUUAUCAUUCAUCAACGAUAAAGUGCACCAAAGGACAAUAAUUUUUCAGAAUUAACUCCAAUAAAUGUGAUGUAAUUGUCUAUGGCCAAAACUGAGAGUAUUUGGUUAAGGCUUGUUGCUGUUUCUGCUUUUCUUUUGGUUUGGGUUUUAAUUGUAACUGUUUGUGUCCCCACAGAUGUGGUCUUUCAGAAGAUUGACAUUUCGCUGAAGAACAGGACAGACCGACUUUUUGUACUUCAGUGCAGCGCUUUGUUCCUUAAAUCAUUUUUAUUACCUUGUGAUGUGAUUAGGAUUUAAUUUAAAUUUAAUUAUUUAUUUGAUUGGGACAGUACAUGUUAAUGAACAAACAUGGAAUACAUGCAUGUAAACAUGCUGGAUUGUAGCCAAAGGCUAAUUUCCAUCCAUAGUCCCACGGGCUAAAAUCACACUGGUCACAAAACAUUACAUAAUAAAAUUUACAUCUACAGUUAGUACAUCGUUUAUCAAUAAAUUAGCUAAAGCCCCAUCUACAAUAUUCACAUAAUACUUGAAAAUUCAUUCAACUUCAAAAUUAACAGAAUCCAGGCCCAGUGUUUUUUUUUCCCCAUGUGACAUGUUCAGGAUUAUCAGUAAUCAAUGUCGUACUUUUUUUUUUUUUUUUUUAAAUUGAACAAAUUUGUUUUCUAAAACAUGACUUUUGCUGGGAAGUGUUUUUCCAUUGUUUGAUCCUGAAGGUUUGCUAUAUAAUAAAAAGCUGAAGUUAUUUACAGCAAUACUCUGGCUACCAUAAUUUAUUGUAUAACAUUUUACAAAAAAUUGUGUUUCAAGAGUAUUUUUAAUUUGUUUUUAGCCUUACUUCUGUCACACAGUAUACAAAGAUGUCCCUGUACAUUUGGUUUAAAUAAAUAAAUUCACUAGAAAAAGAUUAUGGAAUGAAAACAUGUAAGCCCAGAUUUGCUAACUAUUUGUGGCAGUGCACACUUUCUGAAUGUGUCAGGGUUUUCAGAAGACAUGAUAGAAAGGCAUGUGCAUCUUUAUUGGAUAUGCAUUUGUAGGAAAUUUCCUUUAUGAAAGCGUCCCUUAACCCUUUUUGUGCCUGACCUGGCAUUAAUGUUGCUAAUUGCACUUUAUUUUUUAUUUGGUCAUUAUGGAAGGGAGCUGCUGCAAUUCUGUUCUUGCACAUUGAUAGUUUACUCGUAGAAAACAUUCAAAUUCAUCCUGAAGUUAGUUGUAUUUUCUCUGCCAAAAACAAUAUUAGCACAUUUUAAGUUAAGAUGCUUGCUAUUUACCUUUAAUGUGAUAAAAUGAAAA